rnacentral:rRNA from 1 species
CUUUUGACUAUAAUUUAAGGUCUGACCUGCCCAAUGAUGUUUUUAAUGGCCGCGGUAUUUUGACCGUGCAAAGGUAGCAUAAUCAUUAGUUUUUUAAUUGAAAGCUUGUAUGAAUGGUUGAAUGAGAAAAUAGCUGUCUCUAUCUAAAUUUAUUAGAAUUUUAUUUUUAAGUUAAAAAGCUUAGAUGUUUAUAAAAGACGAGAAGACCCUAUAGAGUUUAAUAUUUUUUUUUAGAUAGGAAAUUUAGUAUUUACUUUCUUAUCUUGAAAAAGUAUUUGAUUGGGGUGAUUUAAAAAUUGAAGUAACUUUUUAUUUAUUAGACCAUUUAUUUAUGAGUCAAUGAUCCUUAUUUAAAGAUUAAAAGUUAAAAUUACCUUAGGGAUAACAGCGUAAUUUUCUUUGAGAGUUCUAAUCGAAAGGAAAGAUUGCGACCUCGAUGUUGGAUUAAAAUAUAAUUUUGGUGUAGAAGCUAAA